rnacentral:rRNA from 1 species
UAUUGCACAAUGGGGGAAACCCUGAUGCAGCGACGCCGCGUGGGCGAAGAAGUAUUUCGGUANGUAAAGCCCUAUCAGCAGGGAANNUGNNNUNACGGUACCUGAGUAAGAAGCACCGGCUAAAUACGUGNNNGNANCCGCGGUAAUACGUAUGGUGCAAGCGUUAUCCGGAUUUACUGGGUGUAAAGGGAGCGCAGGCGGCACGGCAAGCCUGAUGUGAAAGCCCGCGGCCCAACCGCGGGACUGCAUUGGGAACUACCGGGCUGGAGUGCCGGAGAGGUAGGCGGAAUUCCUAGUGUAGCGGUGAAAUGCGUAGAUAUUAGGAGGAACACCAGUGGCGAAGGCGGCCUACUGGACGGUGACUGACGCUGAGGCUCGAAAGCGUGGGGAGCAAACAGG